rnacentral:rRNA from 1 species
UACGUAGGGACCGAGCGUUGUCCGGAAUCAUUGGGCGUAAAGAGCGUGUAGGCGGCUUGCUAAGUCUUGCGUGAAAUCUCGGGGCUCAACCCCGAGCGGUCGUGGGAAACUGGCAGGCUAGAGUGCGGGAGAGGAGAAUGGAAUUCCUAGUGUAGCGGUGAAAUGCGCAGAUAUCAGGAAGAACACCCGUGGCGAAGGCGGUUCUCUGGAACGCAACUGACGCUGAGACGCGAAAGCGUGGGGAGCAAACAGG